rnacentral:rRNA from 1 species
AGCAAUCCUGGUGGCGAGUGGCGAACGGGUGAGUAAUACAUCGGAACGUGCCCUGUAGUGGGGGAUAACUAGUCGAAAGACUAGCUAAUACCGCAUACGACCUGAGGGUGAAAGUGGGGGACCGCAAGGCCUCAUGCUAUAGGAGCGGCCGAUGUCUGAUUAGCUAGUUGGUGGGGUAAAGGCCUACCAAGGCGACGAUCAGUAGCUGGUCUGAGAGGACGAUCAGCCACACUGGGACUGAGACACGGCCCAGACUCCUACGGGAGGCAGCAGUGGGGAAUUUUGGACAAUGGGGGCAACCCUGAUCCAGCAAUGCCGCGUGUGUGAAGAAGGCCUUCGGGUUGUAAAGCACUUUUGUCCGGGAAGAAGUCGCACCUGAUAAUACCGGGUGUGGAUGACGGUACCGGAAGAAUAAGGACCGGCUAACUACGUGCCAGCAGCCGCGGUAAUACGUAGGGUCCAAGCGUUAAUCGGAAUUACUGGGCGUAAAGCGUGCGCAGGCGGUUGUGCAAGACCGAUGUGAAAUCCCCGGGCUUAACCUGGGAAUUGCAUUGGUGACUGCACGGCUAGAGUGUGUCAGAGGGGGGUAGAAUUCCACGUGUAGCAGUGAAAUGCGUAGAGAUGUGGAGGAAUACCGAUGGCGAAGGCAGCCCCCCGGGGAUAACACUGACGCUCAUGCACGAAAGCGUGGGGAGCAAACAGGAUUAGAUACCCUGGUAGUCCACGCCCUAAACGAUGUCAACUAGUUGU